rnacentral:rRNA from 1 species
UACGAAGGGGGCUAGCGUUGCUCGGAAUUACUGGGCGUAAAGGGCGCGUAGGCGGCACUGUUAGUCAGGCGUGAAAGUCCUGGGCUCAACCUGGGAACUGCGCUUGAUACGGUAGAGCUAGAGGAUGGAAGAGGCUCGCGGAAUUCCCAGUGUAGAGGUGAAAUUCGUAGAUAUUGGGAAGAACACCGGUGGCGAAGGCGGCGAGCUGGUCCAUUGCUGACGCUGAGGCGCGACAGCGUGGGGAGCAAACAGG